rnacentral:tRNA from 1 species
GAAACCAGUUAGAGGGGGUUCGAUUCCUUCCUUUCUUA